rnacentral:rRNA from 1 species
CACGAGUGGCGAACGGGUGAGUAACACGUGAGCAACCUACCCUUGACUCUGGAAUAACGGUUGGAAACAGCCGCUAAUACCGGAUACGACCUUGAGCGUCAUCGCUCGAGGUGGAAAGCUCCGGCGGUCAGGGAUGGGCUCGCGGCCUAUCAGCUAGUUGGUGAGGUAACGGCUCACCAAGGCUUCGACGGGUAGCCGGCCUGAGAGGGCGACCGGCCACACUGGGACUGAGAUACGGCCCAGACUCCUACGGGAGGCAGCAGUGGGGAAUAUUGCACAAUGGGCGAAAGCCUGAUGCAGCAACGCCGCGUGUGGGAUGACGGCCUUCGGGUUGUAAACCACUUUCAGCGCCGACGAAGCGAAAGUGACGGUAGGCGCAGAAGAAGCACCGGCCAACUACGUGCCAGCAGCCGCGGUGAUACGUAGGGUGCGAGCGUUGUCCGGAAUUAUUGGGCGUAAAGGGCUCGUAGGCGGUCCGUCACGUCGGAAGUGAAAACUCGGGGCUUAACCCCGAGCCUGCUUCCGAUACGGGCAGACUAGAGGAAUGCAGGGGAGAAUGGAAUACCUGGUGGAGCGGUGGAAUGCGCAGAUAUCAGGUGGAACACCAGUGGCGAAGGCGGUUCUCUGGGCAUUUCCUGACGCUGAGGAGCGAAAGCGUGGGGAGCAAACAGGCUUAGAUACCCUGGUAGUCCACGCCGUAAACGGUGGGCACUAGGUGUGGGACUCAUUCCACGAGUUCCGUGCCGAAGCUAACGCAUUAAGUGCCCCGCCUGGGGAGUACGGCCGCAAGGCUAAAACUCAAAGGAAUUGACGGGGGCCCGCACAAGCGGCGGAGCAUGCGGAUUAAUUCGAUGCAACGCGAAGAACCUUACCUAGGUUUGACAUAUACCGGAAAGCUGCAGAGAUGUAGCCCCCGCAAGGUCGGUAUACAGGUGGUGCAUGGCUGUCGUCAGCUCGUGUCGUGAGAUGUUGGGUUAAGUCCCGCAACGAGCGCAACCCUCGUCCUAUGUUGCCAGCACGUA